rnacentral:misc_RNA from 1 species
UGCACAAACCACAGUAUACACUAAUUCUAUCAGUACUCCCUAUAUGAUUCAUUAGUUCUAUAUUGCAGGAAGAAAUCUUACUAAACGAUCGGCUAACUCACUAAACCAUCUCAUGGAACAAUGAACUUUGAGAAAUCAGCACAAAGUACAUCAGGUUUUAUAUUAAGGAUUUUUCAAAGCUAAUGUUAUAAUUCCUCAAUCCUCUCUAUCCACAAACCUAUGGUGCACAUAAUCAGUGACAUUCAAAUUAGCAUCCAGCUUCCAAAGGAGGAAUCCUGAAGACCAUUCACUCCAUAUCACUUCAUAUGAAGUAUAAUUGAGCUAAAUAAACCAUUUCAAUGCAUACUGGAGUUAAUGAAGCAACUAGUUUAGUUUCAACAUAAUGACCACAGAUUCAGAAAUCAGACACAAAAUGGAACUUGGGGGAAGCGGAUACCAAAGAAAAUACAUUUUAUGUGCUUGCCAACCGCCUCUGUUAAUAGCUACAUGAUUGCCAAGUGAAAAUUAAUUUGAAACCUCAUCAUUUGGUUGAAUUAGCUAAUCUGACUUUUGAGAAUUGUAGCACAAAGGGAAGUCAACCUAGUGUCACUUCUGUUUCUUAAGAUGUCUCCUAGAGAUAGUGGACCUUCAAAAAUGCCCAAGUCUCACUUUGGCUUAUCAAGUAUGGUUUUGUUUCUCUCUCUAAGAAUGUUUUCCUCAAAAUAAGGGGAAGAAAAGAAAAGGAUAUGAUAUAAACUCACAGUUUUAAGAACUGAGUCCCAAUAAGGCUGUCAA